CCUACGGGUGGCAGCAGUGAGGAAUAUUGGUCAAUGGACGCAAGUCUGAACCAGCCAUGCCGCGUGCAGGAAGACGGCUCUAUGAGUUGUAAACUGCUUUUGUACGAGGGUAAACGCAGAUACGCGUAUCUGUCUGAAAGUAUCGUACGAAUAAGGAUCGGCUAACUCCGUGCCAGCAGCCGCGGUAAUACGGAGGAUUCAAGCGUUAUCCGGAUUUAUUGGGUUUAAAGGGUGCGUAGGCGGUCGGAUAAGUUAGAGGUGAAAUCCCGAGGCGCAACUUCGGAAUUGCCUCUGAUACUGUUCGGCGAGAGAGUAGUUGCGGUAGGCGGAAUGUAUGGUGUAGCGGUGAAAUGCUUAGAGAUCAUACAGAACACCGAUUGCGAAGGCAGCUUACCAAGCUACUUCUGACGUUGAGGCACGAAAGCGUGGGGAGCAAACAGGAUUAGUUACCCCAGUAGUC
rnacentral:rRNA from 1 species